rnacentral:rRNA from 1 species
AGUAACAUCCGGAAACGGGUAGCUAAUACCGCAUAGUUUUCUUGAUCGCAUGAUUGAGAAAGGAAAGACGGCCUUUGUGCUGUCGCUUAUGGAUGGACCCGCGGCGUAUUAGUUAGUUGGUGAGGUAACGGCUCACCAAGACGAUGAUACGUAGCCGACCUGAGAGGGUGAUCGGCCACAUUGGGACUGAGACACGGCCCAAACUCCUACGGGAGGCAGCAGUAGGGAAUCUUCCGCAAUGGACGAAAGUCUGACGGAGCAACGCCGCGUGAGUGAAGAAAGGUUUUCGGAUCGUAAAACUCUGUUGUCAGAGAAGAACAAGUUGGAGAGUAACUGCUCCAGCCUUGACGGUAUCUGACCAGAAAGCCACGGCUAACUACGUGCCAGCCGCCGC